rnacentral:piRNA from 1 species
ACUGGGCUCAUCUGACUGCGUCUG